UAUACUUUAAUUUUAUAUGUAUUCAUAUAAAUAACUUUUUUCUCCCAUUAGCUAGAUGAAAAUGCACAGAUAUCUAUUGUUUAUUGUACUGUAAUAGUUCUUUCUACAACAUAAAACUCAGAAAAUAGGUUAUAGAUUAAUGAGAGUUAGUGUGUGUAAAAUGGAUUCAUUUUCUUUCAAAAUAAAACAACAUAAUGAAAAUUUAGACUAAAAAUUUCCCAAAGUUGACACUAAAAUAAUAGAAAGCAACAUUGCUGUAUAGGCUUGUAUAGUCUUCCUAAUACACAGGAGAGUAUUUACAUUUGGUUAAAUAGCUCACUAGGAUCAUUUACAUUACAAAAAUAUGUGUGCUUGGUAAACUAACCCAGGAUCAAAGAAACCACUCCACACCUGCCCUCCUCCCAUCUCUGGAGGUAACAAGAGUUAAUAAUUUGGUCAGCUUUCUUCAGACAUUUUUGUUGUAUACUUACAGGCAAAUAUGUACACGUGCAAUUGUUUUAUUUUUCUUUGAGUGUAGUGUGGGCUGGAAUUCUGAACUAUUUUUUUAAACCAUUCCUCAAAUGAAAGAAACUGAAAGUUUGCACUAAAGGAAGAUAUCAUUGAAUUGUCUUGGAAUUUAAUAAGAGUAUUUCUAGCAUUUUACCAACAAAGUAUAAUAUUUGUAUCAUAUAUUUAGGGUAUAUUUGACAUUCCUAUAAUGACUUCUUUCCUAUUCUUAGCUUGACAAGGUUUACAAUGAAUGAUUAUUUUGUUUAUCAAACCAUCAUUUUUUAUGUUAAUCCUAUAAUAUAGUGAAUAGAUUUCCAAAUAUAGACUUAAUCGUGCAAUCUUGAAUUUCUCUCAUUAAGAUGUAAUGUUUUCUAAAUAUCAAUGAAUUUAAUUUGAAAAUAUUUCAUGUAGUGUUUACAUGUAUAUUCAAAAUAAAAUUCACCUAUGGUUUUAUUACAUUCUAAUUUUCUGCUAUUUUUAAAUCAAAGAUAAAAAAUAUUUAGAAAUUUCCCUCUAGCAGUUACUUUUUAAGAAUUCUAUUCACAGUCUACUGCUUGCAAAUACUAAAUGAAAACUCAAUUUUACUCUCACAAUUGUUUCUUAAAUCACAAAAGUAUAAGGUCAAAAAGUGUUUUCAUUUUAAAGUAUAAUGCCAGUAAGAUUCUCCUUCUAAUUAACCUGCAUAUUUAUGUUGAAAGGUUCAGUAUUUUCUUCAAAACCAUAGAUUAAAAAAUAUUCCAAAGAACGUAUCUAAAUAGAAAUAACUUAUAUUAAUCUUACAUAUAGUUGGGUUCUUUAAAUCAGAAAUUAUGAGGUUUUCUUCAGCUGUGGGAAAUUAUCUUUACAAUUUCACCAAUUAUAUUUUUGUCAAUGUUUUUACUGCUUUCUAGAGAUCCAAAGAGAUGCAUUGUUAAAAUUGCUGGUUUUUACCUACCAUAUCUUUAAAGUUUUCUUUGUCACUUUCUGUUUUGUUUGCAAUUUUGUAACAUAGUCCCAGAAAGUUUUUCGGCUGAUCUUCUAACUCAAAAAUUUGAUCAUAUAUUCUAUUUUUAAUUGCAAAAUCCAUCUGAGUUUUAAGAUUUUUGCAUAGCAUUCAGUUACUGUUUUAUAGACAUUUCCUUAUCCCUUAUAAAGCACUAAUUAAACAACAAAAAAGUUCCAUUUUUCCAUUAACUUUUUGGAUUGUUUUUUUAAGAAAAGCUAAGUUACCAAAUUGACUUAAAACUUAGUGUGUACUUCAUAAUAUAUCCAAAGAAGAAACAAGGAUUGUCAAAGAUUUGCUAAUAAAAAUACUACAGGUAAUAGAGAUUUAAAGGUAUCGCCUAUAUCUAAGUUUAAAAUCCGAAUCUCAUAAUUUUAUGAUAUUUAAACUAAUAUAGAGAUAAAGCUUACUAAAUUAUUUUGAAGCAAUACCCAUUAUUAAAAACUUACAGAACAUAAGAAAAUAUAGACUUUUAUAACAUAUAAAGAUGUCAAAUAUCUAGUAAACCAAUAGCAUAUUGAAUACAGAUAUGAAAUGAAAAAUACACCAUGGCCACAUUGCUCUCAUCUCACAAAUGCUAAGAAUGUUCAAAAUUAGGAUAUAAAUUACUAUGCAUUUUUACAUUAACAGCUUAAAGAAGAAAAUCAAUGUCAUAUCAAGUCAUUUAAUAAAAACAGCUGACACCUUUCAGAAGUACAUAAAAAAUUCUGGAUAAAUUAUAUAAAGAACUUGUCUUAAUAUAAUUACACAAUAAGGAGAAACUAUCUUAAUUGGUUGCAAACAUUAACGUAAGAACACUUUCUGGGCUCAAACAUGUCUCCCCCACUUUCUAGCUUUAGUAUUUUGGGAAAAUCAUUGAACGUUCUGUGCCUCAGUUUUUUCAUGAUAUUCUUGGGGGAAAUUUAAAGAAGUAAUACAUGUAAAAUGUUUACAACACCCUAGCACAUAGUAGCACUAUUAAGUUUCGGAUGUUGUUAUUAUUAUUUUUCACCACUGAAGACAAGGACAUGUCAUUUGAUGGCUGCUGUCAACACUCUAAUUUUAUCUAAAGAUUAGCUAAUGUUCAUCUUCAUCUUACAAGAUGAAGAAAGGAACUGCACAUACUGAAAAAUGAGCCAACUAUUACAAGUAUUAAAAGAUAUCUGGUGCUCCCUUCGGCAACACAUAUAAUAAAACAAGAUAUCUGUAUGGUGGUUAAUAUUAUGGUAAAUAAACAGGGAAAAGUGAUUCUAUGCCUGAAAUAGUUGAAAAAUGUGAAAAAGAGGGCACUCUCUUUCACUGGAGAUAUGACUUUUUACUUCUAAGUACAAAUAUAAGACAUAUACAAGAUCUAUGUGUCAAAAACCAGAAAAAAACUGGUAUGUGUAUACACACACACACAUAGUACAUAAAUAAUUCAGAAAUAUGUUUAGUUAGUGCAUGAGAUGACUCAAUAAUUUGAAGAGGUAACUUCCGCCAAAAUUAAUAAGUGCAUUCAGUGCAAUUACAAUCAAAUUCCCAAUUUGGGGGUUACUACAGAUUGCUUACAAAUUUCACUUGAUAGAGUCGCUAAAACUAUUUUUAAUAAGAACAAAAGGGAGAAAUCCAAAUUUAACCAGAACAGAAGGAUCAUGUCUAAGAUCAACUGUAGUAGAUAAGCCUGUCCUGCUUUGAAUCAGUGAAUACUAUAAAGACUUGUGAAUCCUAAAAAGGAAAUUUAAUGUUAGAUGGCAUUGAAUAAUUGUCAAUUCUUAAGCAUAGCAUUGACAUUUUUGAGAUCCCAAGAUUAAAAAAUUAAACAUCUACCUUCAAAAUAUGGAGUCAAUCCCAAAGGCUAAGGAAUCCCCAAAUCAAGCUGCUAACAUAUUACACCAGAAUAACCUAGGUUAUAUAGUCACGGAGUUACCGCGAGACUUGCUGUCAGACUUUCCCACAGGGGAAUGUGGUAAUCUGCCUUAAUAGCCCUCCUGGUGAUGCCAAGGAACAGAGCUUUAGCUCUCAGAGGUUGUCAUUCAUGAGAAUCACCUGAAGGAUUGGUAGAAAAUGUAGAUUGCCAAGUUCCUCCCCAAAGAUUCUGCCUCAAGAGAUCUAAGCAGGACACUAGGACUCGAAAAUCGGCAAUUUAAAUUGGAGCAGUAAACUCUACACGAAAUAUAGCUUUAUAUUAUCAUUUGACUAAUAGUAAUUUUAAUUGUAAAUUCUAUCUCCAAGUUAAAUGUGGUAACUAUGUGCAGACAAAAUUAACUCAGGGAAGGAUUAUGGGUGGGUUUAGGAGCAAUUCUAAUAAUGUGGGUCCAUGGUUAUUAGAAACAGGUGAUUCUAUCUAGACUGGUUUUAAGGGUUUGGAUAGAAUUUAUAGCAUUUGGUAACUAGCAUCACCAGUGAGAAGGAGAUGUCAAAUAUGGAAAUCAGUGAUGAAGUCAGAAGAACAGGCAGGUUUGGGGAGGUAAACAAACAUUUGUGUUAGGUUUAUAACUUUAUCAGUUAACAGAGAUGAAUAGGUAUAAAAGGUCCCAAGAAAUGGAAGGCCAUCUUUAAAAGAAUAGAAAUAACAUUUGAAAUACCUGAAAGACUGAUAAGGAAACAAAUCUAGAAUGAAAUUUUUGAAAAUGUAAACCUCUCAAGAAGUUAGAAGCAAACAUCACAAAUUUAUAAAAUGAAUGACAAUGCAGAUUAUUUGAAAAUUAAUUAAAUUUACAUUGCCUUAAUUCCUCAGAGAAAAGUUAAAUGUAACUGCCCUUUACCCUAAUAUUUUUUCACACAUGCACAAAGAUUUGCCUAUUGUAUCAAUUUCCCUCCUGUAACACAAACCACCAUAAACCUGAACUCAACUACUCAUUGAUUCUAAGUGUUCGUUCUCUAUUAACUCUAUUUUCAAUCAGAGAUAUAAUGUGCAAACACUUGAAUAACCUGUAUUUAACUCCAGAAAAGUAUUGUUAUAAAUUACAUAUGUCCAAUAAUCAAUCAAUUUUAGCUUUUGACAUAUCCUUUUACAGCCACCAAGUUUACCUUGGAUCACUUUUUGUAUUCAAAACAUAUUUUUAGUAUGUUAGAAAUUGUUCUUUGAAAUAUGCACUCCAAAAGAGCUCUUUGGGACUCUUAUUCUAUAAAAUGAAUAAAUUUUAAGUGAAUAGAAUGCUUGAAAAAAAUUCCCCAGUUAAUCAAGCUAUAGGUGAAAAUUUUUUAUAUGUGCUCCUUUUCAUCUUUUUACAUUGUACCUUCCAUAGUUGGAAUUUUCUUUUAUCAUUAAUUCACAAAAAUAAUAAAAUCAGAUCUCUUAAUCUAAUUUUCUAUGCAACAGAAAAAAAAUACCCAAAUUGAGGAAGUUACACCAUCAAGAGACAUAAAUAAUCUAUUUUGUACACCAUUCUGGAAGUAUAUUUCAUGUAAAAUAAUUGAUUUAUUUUUCACUAUUACCAAUUCAUUUUUGCUUAAUUUUAAAAAAUAUACUUAGAAAUUAUCUAUCACUUUAUGGUGUAGUCAAUCUUUAAUUUUUAUGCUACAUGUUUUAUUAAGACUCCUAGAAUGACUAUCUACUUUGAAGCAUAGAAAGACUAUUAGGAAAUUAAUACUUACAGAUCAACUUUUUUUCCCACUGGAUUGUUCUUUUUUGUCCUUUCAAUUUGUGUGUUAUCAACAUUGAAUCUUUUUAAGGCUCGGCUCUUGCUUCUAUAUUUCUCAUUAAGAAUACUAUCCACAGAUUAGAUAAGGCAAGUGUGGAGCUUAUCCCACGAUAAGCUCCCCUGAAUGGUGUGAACCACUAAAACCUAAUUAAUCUUAUCUGCCAUAGAUUCAU
rnacentral:lncRNA from 1 species